rnacentral:rRNA from 1 species
AUUGAACGCUGGCGGCAUGCUUUACACAUGCAAGUCGAACGGUAACAGGUUAAGCUGACGAGUGGUGAACGGGUGAGUAAUGCAUCGGAACGUGCUCGGUCGUGGGGGAUAACGCAGCGAAAGCUGCGCUAAUACCGCAUACGAUCUGAGUAUGAAAGCGGGGGACCGUAAGGCCUCGCGCGAUCGGAGCGUCCGAUGUCAGAUUAGGUAGUUGGUGGGGUAAAGGCCCACCAAGCCGACGAUCUGUAGCUGGUCUGAGAGGACGACCAGCCACACUGGGACUGAGACACGGCCCAGACUCCUACGGGAGGCAGCAGUGGGGAAUUUUGGACAAUGGGCGAAAGCCUGAUCCAGCAAUGCCGCGUGCAGGAAGAAGGCCUCCGGGUUGUAAACUGCUUUUGUACGGAGCGAAAAGGUCCUUUCUAAUACAAGGGGCUCAUGACGGUACCGUAAGAAUAAGCACCGGCUAACUACGUGCCAGCCGCCGCGGUAA